GAUGAACGCUGGCGGCGUGCCUAAUACAUGCAAGUCGAGCGAACAGACGAGGAGCUUGCUCCUCUGAUGUUAGCGGCGGACGGGUGAGUAACACGUGGAUAACCUACCUAUAAGACUGGGAUAACUUCGGGAAACCGGAGCUAAUACCGGAUAACAUGUUGAACCGCAUGGUUCAACAGUGAAAGACGGUCUUGCUGUCACUUAUAGAUGGAUCCGCGCCGCAUUAGCUAGUUGGUAAGGUAACGGCUUACCAAGGCAACGAUGCGUAGCCGACCUGAGAGGGUGAUCGGCCACACUGGAACUGAGACACGGUCCAGACUCCUACGGGAGGCAGCAGUGGGGAAUCUUCCGCAAUGGGCGAAAGCCUGACGGAGCAACGCCGCGUGAGUGAAGAAGGUCUUCGGAUCGUAAAACUCUGUUAUUAGGGAAGAACAAAUGUGUAAGUAACUAUGCACGUCUUGACGGUACCUAAUCAGAAAGCCACGGCUAACUACGUG
rnacentral:rRNA from 1 species